UCCUGGUUAACCCAGGCAGUCUCGUUAGAGUUCCCACCUUUACGUGUUGGCAACUAACGAUAAGGGUUGCGCUCGUUGCUGGACUUAACCAAACACCUCACGGCACGAGCUGACGACAGCCAUGCAGCACCUAUAUAGAGGCCCUUUCGGGCUAUACCAUCUCUGGUAUAUCCCUCUAUAUUUCAAGCCCAGGUAAGGUUCUUCGCGUUGCAUCGAAUUAAACCACAUGCUCCACUGCUUGUGCGGGCCCCCGUCAAUUCUUUUGAGUUUCACCCUUGCGAGCGUACUCCCCAGGCGGCAUACUUAAUGCGUUAGCUCCGGUACAGAGGGGGUUGAUCCCUCCUACACCUAGUAUGCAUCGUUUAAGGCAUGGACUAC
rnacentral:misc_RNA from 1 species